AGUGAACGCUGGCGGUAGGCCUAACACAUGCAAGUCGAACGGCAGCACAGUAAGAGCUUGCUCUUACGGGUGGCGAGUGGCGGACGGGUGAGGAAUACAUCGGAAUCUACUUUUUCGUGGGGGAUAACGUAGGGAAACUUACGCUAAUACCGCAUACGACCUACGGGUGAAAGCAGGGGAUCUUCGGACCUUGCGCGAUUGAAUGAGCCGAUGUCGGAUUAGCUAGUUGGCGGGGUAAAGGCCCACCAAGGCGACGAUCCGUAGCUGGUCUGAGAGGCUGAUCACGCACACUGGAAAUGAGACACGGUCCAGACUCCUACGGGAGGAAGCAGUGGGGAAUAUUAGACAAGGGGCGAGAGCCUGAUCCAGCCAUACCGCGUGGGUGAAGAAGGCCUUCGGGUUGUAAAGCCCUUUUGUUGGGAAAGAAAAGCAGCAGGUUAAUACCCCGCUGUUCUGACGGUACCCAAAGAAUAAGCACCGGCUAACUUCGUG
rnacentral:rRNA from 1 species